AACCUGGCUCAGAUUGAACGCUAGCGGGAUGCUUUACACAUGCAAGUCGAACGGCAGCGCGAGAGAGCUUGCUCUCUUGGCGGCGAGUGGCGGACGGGUGAGUAAUAUAUCGGAACGUGCCCAGUAGCGGGGGAUAACUACUCGAAAGAGUGGCUAAUACCGCAUACGCCCUACGGGGGAAAGGGGGGGAUCGCAAGACCUCUCACUAUUGGAGCGGCCGAUAUCGGAUUAGCUAGUUGGUGGGGUAAAGGCUCACCAAGGCAACGAUCCGUAGCUGGUUUGAGAGGACGACCAGCCACACUGCUGAGACACGGCCCAGACUCCUACGGGAGGCAGCAGUGGGGAAUUUUGGACAAUGGGGGAAACCCUGAUCCAGCCAUCCCGCGUGUAUGAUGAAGGCCUUCGGGUUGUAAAGUACUUUUGGCAGAGAAGAAAAGGUAUCCCCUAAUACGGGAUACUGCUGACGGUAUCUGCAGAAUAAGCACCGGCUAACUACGUGCC
rnacentral:rRNA from 1 species